rnacentral:siRNA from 1 species
GUGGCAGAGUGGCCUUGCUGCC